UGAGCGGCGGACGGGUUAGUAACGCGUGGGAACGUACCCAGAUCUAAGGAAUAGCCACUGGAAACGGUGAGUAAUACCUUAUACGCCCUUCGGGGGAAAGAUUUAUCGGAUUUGGAUCGGCCCGCGUUAGAUUAGGUAGUUGGUGGGGUAAUGGCCUACCAAGCCUACGAUCUAUAGCUGGUUUUAGAGGAUGAUCAGCAACACUGGGACUGAGACACGGCCCAGACUCCUACGGGAGGCAGCAGUGGGGAAUCUUAGACAAUGGGCGCAAGCCUGAUCUAGCCAUGCCGCGUGAGCGAUGAAGGCCUUAGGGUCGUAAAGCUCUUUCGCCUGUGAUGAUAAUGACAGUAGCAGGUAAAGAAACCCCGGCUAACUCCGUGCCAGCAGCCGCGGUAAUACGGAGGGGGUUAGCGUUGUUCGGAAUUACUGGGCGUAAAGCGCACGUAGGCGGAUUAGAAAGUUAGGGGUGAAAUCCCGGGGCUCAACCUCGGAACUGCCUCUAAAACUCCUAGUCUAGAGUUCGAGAGAGGUGAGUGGAAUUCCAAGUGUAGAGGUGAAAUUUGUAGAUAUUUGGAGGAACACCAGUGGCGAAGGCGGCUCACUGGCUCGAUACUGACGCUGAGGUGCGAAAGUGUGGGGAGCAAACAGGAUUAGAUACCCUGGUAG
rnacentral:rRNA from 1 species